GUAAACGAUGAAUACUAGGUGUGGGGGGACUGACCCCCUCCGUGCCGCAGUUAACACAAUAAGUAUUCCACCUGGGGAGUACGGCCGCAAGGUUGAAACUCAAAGGAAUUGACGGGGGCCCGCACAAGCGGUGGAUUACGUGGUUUAAUUCGAAGCAACGCGAAGAACCUUACCGGGGCUUGACAUCUGACUAACGAGGCAGAGAUGCGUUAGGUGCCCUUCGGGGAAAGUCAAGACAGGUGGUGCAUGGUUGUCGUCAGCUCGUGUCGUGAGAUGUUGGGUUAAGUCCCGCAACGAGCGCAACCCUUAUUGUUAGUUGCUACGCAAGAGCACUCUAGCAAGACUGCCGUUGACAAAACGGAGGAAGGUGGGGACGACGUCAAAUCAUCAUGCCCCUUAUGUCCCGGGCUACACACGUAAUACAAUGGCGGUCAACAGAGGGAAGCAAGUCCGCGAGGAGGAGCAAAUCCCCAAAAGCCGUCUCAGUUCGGAU
rnacentral:rRNA from 1 species